GUAUUCAGGUGAAACAUGAACGAUACUGAAACUUGUGUCUCUCUUGAAUUCAGCUAAACAACAUUUCAAAUAUACUCCAUAUGAUGAGUCCAGUGGGGUCUUUAGUUAAUUUCUUGAUUUAUUGAAUUUGUGGUGCGUCAGUUCUACGUGAUACUGUCGCUGAUUAGUGCAACCAUCCUCGUAGAGCUCUCUAGUAGAAGGAAACCAACAAUAGUAGCUGACAUUCCCGCGCAAAAUUUUGUCAACACACAACGCCAUUGUUUACACGGAUUAUUUUAACUUUUUGUGCACACUGUGACAAGUCAGCGUUACUAUACCUAUGUCGUAAUAUCAGAAUCGCACGACUCAUGUCAACCAAACUUGGCACAACUCUAGCUGAAGGAAAAGGAGAUUUUAAGUUUGUUCAAAUGAAGAACCUUGUUCUGUUCCAAGAGCCGUGAUACGGCUGUUGCUGAGGAAAGAAAAGCAGUCACUAUAGCUCUUGAAAGAUUGGCAGCCAGCUCGUUACAUAAAACUUUCACUUUAAAAAGAAAGGAGAAUUGUUUUGUGGGGCCUUGAAUUGAGCUGCCGCCAGCUAAUUUUUGUGUUGUGACUUCCUAGGAGAAGAUGUUAUGUAACCUGCGGUGGAUACAGGAUGUGGUUCUUUUUCUAAUGCUGUCUGAUUUUAAAAAAUUCUACAACAACCAAAAAAAAACCCACUGGAUUCAGAAUGUGUAAACAAACAAGUACAAGUUAUAUAUAGCUUUUACAGGUCAGGGAUAUACUCACGGUACUCAUGUAUAGCAAACUUUGAAUUGUGUGGAAAACACUUACAGUUACCUAUUAUGAAAAUUUAUCUGGUUCUAACCAGAAUUAAGAAUUAACUAGAUUAUGACCCAUCCAUGAAACCCAUCAUGAAGUCCGUUUAUGUUUAUAAUCUCCAGAAAGUCACUGUUCUCCCCUUCCUCCCUGAGAUUUGUGUCUUCACUAAGAUAAUCUCCCAUUACGUUGUGUAAAUGUGCAGCAAACAUGCAUACAGAUGUACUGAUGAGCUACUGUUAUCACUAGGAAGGCAGCUAUAGUGAUAAAACAUGUACCACCUGUUGGUUUGUCAGCACAGGAUUGGGGGAGGGAGGGAGGGGGGGGGGGGGGCUAUAUAAGCUCAUGAUGAACAGAAAUGGAUUUUUCUACUAUUUGAUUAAAUGAUUGCAGUCCUAGAAGAUCAGAUUGAAAUUGUUCAAUCAACGACAGGUUAUCUGGAAGAGAAGUCCGUAUAUGAAACUUGAGGGUUGAAUUUGAUGCAAAGCAUGAAAUUCUUUGCCAUCAUUAUAUAUGGAAGAGAAAUCGUGGCAUAUAAAAUGUCUAUAAUGAGAGUUGAAUUUGAUGUAAAGCAUGAAAUUCUUUGCCGUUGUGUUCAAUUGUAAGUUUGCCGUGCUGGCCUUGAAUUGCAUGUUAGAAUUGGGUUAAUGUGUAUGUAACAGUUACUCGCAUCAGGCUCAGAUGUAGCAGCCAAGUUUCCCUCCGUUCAGAUAUAGCUUGCUGUUGUUUUUGAAGAUGACAUUUAUUGGGUAAUAGUAGUAUUUAUAUAGAUAUACCUAUAUCCUCACAUGAAUUCAACGAGAGAGGGGAAUUUUAUAUAAAAUUCAAUGAUGUGUUAAUGUUACUGAGAAAGCAAUUAUUCAAGGUCAUGGUCAUUUUUCAUUAAGUAGAGUUAUUCCCCUUUGAAUACUAAAUCGUGCAACAGUUGUCAGCUGAUGCAAUGUUUACAUUGCUAAAGAGCACAGAUAUAAAUAGGCCAAUUCAAAAAAAAAAAUUAGCAUAUGCAAGAAUUCAGUCUAAACAAUGAGUCAUAUUUCUGUGUAUAUUGGGACCCAUUAGAUAAAUGGGGUUUUGCUGGAAUCCAUCCAUAAUCACUGCAGAAGUGAUAGUGUAUUUGUUAUUUGAAUUUGUUUACAUCAACUUUGUUGUUGUCCCUGUCUUGAUGACCUAUGCCUGUAGGGAAAGAUAAUGGGAGCAGAGGAUCUUUUGCAAAUAAAAUUUUUAUGGGUUGGAUUAUAAACAUGUAGCACAUGUUGUUUACUGCAUGUGCUUGCCAGAGCACAACACAGUGACACGAAGUACUCGGUGCACAUAAUUAUAAGCACUGAGAAAAGUUGUGUUUGCAGUUAUUGCAGCAAUUGGGUUGCAUUAGGAUUUCUUUGUUGUUGUUGCACAAUUGCAAUAGAUAUCCAUGUGAUGCAUAUCUAUCAGACGUACUCGUUCUGACGUCUCUAUUAUUGAUGUUUAUGUUUCUGUCUUACAAACAAGGGAUGGGUUAUGAUAUGUAUUUGUGAAAAGAUAUGCUUUGGUUUUAAUUAAGACCAACAACAGCAAGCUGGUGGGCUGCUUCAGAAUUCAUCAUGGCUAGUGUAUAAAUACAUCUACUGCAAGGUGCUGCAUACCAGGUAUCAUGACAUGAUACAACAGUGGGGUAUUUUUUUGUUUCAGGAGACAUUUUACACUGUAUGUAAUAAUCUACUAUGUAUGAUUGAAAUGUAGAAAUUUUUCAGGAUACCUCAUCAAAAUUUUAGAUAUGUAAAAAUUUCUUGCUGAUAGCUGAACCAAGUUAAGGAAAAAGUUGUGUCAACUCAGGGGAAAGAUUUAGGAUUCCCUUUUCUUCAGACGGUGCCAUACGCCUACUGCGCAAUUCAUUUACAUUUUCAUUGUGUGCAGUAAAUAAACAGUACAUUUAUAUUGCCAUAUAAAACUUUGAUAGGUGUUUUCAGGUCUAUAUGAUGACGAAAAUAUAAUAAACAGAUUGUGGUGUGGUGGAAGAUGUCGUUGUCCUUCUCAGUGGGGACCUGGUGUCCCGGUUUUCAUGGAUUGACAUUAACCAAGAGAUAGUUACACCUCCCUCAGGUGGAUUUGUUCAUUAAUUGACGUGGCUCCAUAAUCUCUUUAAUAAAUGCCUGUUUACUCCAGGUCCCUGCCAGCUUGAAGCACACAAUAAUGAAACAAACUAUUGAUUUAGUGACAUAAGACGCUUUGAUAGUUUGUUAUUAGGGGUCGUUUGUGUUAUUGAAACGGAGAUAAAACCAUGAUUAUGGUGGUUGACUUUUCUUGUCCAUGUGUGAUGGAUUCUAAUUGUCCCUGUGUCUCAUAUUGUGAAAUGCAAGUCCUUGUUUACCAGUGGGGGUAUAUUAGAUUAAAAAAAAUCCCAAUAUACACCACUACAGGGAUAUUGGGAUUCGAAUGGGAAAAAUUGCAUACCCUUUUGAUUGAGUUCUCAUUCAAAUGUUGCAGGGGGGAGGAUGUUGCACAGAGGGUUUUAUUACUGUGCAUAGAUAUUGCAGUACGCAGUUUUACUAAAGGCUGUACAAAGCUUUACGAUUGAAUUUACUUGUGUGUAACUGCUGUGAUUAGUGCAUGCACUUGUAAACGUUAGGAUUAAACAUAGGUUUUGACGUAUUUCUUAUAACUGGAAUUCUUUCAUAAUGUUUUAGACAAAUGAGGAAAAGGACAGCAUGUAUAUACAUACAUACAUACAUACACACACACACACACACACAGAAUAUAUAUAUAUAUAUAUUACUCACAAGCUGAAUAAAAGUGUAAAGUUUGAGAGUAAAAUGUUCGCAGUUUUCUGACUAGUAUUUUUAUACUUUGUAAUAAAAUGAAUGAAUUGACUAUUAAUGGGCAUUAUACUAGACAUUACAUAAUCAAUAAUUUGAGAAAAAAUAGAUUAAUUCGGUGAGAAUGUUUGUAUAGCAUAAUCUUUGAUUACACACAAGUGCAUGAUGCAAUGUGAGGAUAGUGUGAUGUCAAUUUUUAGAUAGCUCUAUAUCCUUAUAGGUUUUUGCAAAAAUUGAAUUAAAUUUUUCUUAAAUUGAUAGAAGAUAUCUUUUUUAAGAAUUUUAUUCCCUGUGUGUGAUAGAUUGUUAGAUGAAAAAUCUGGUAAACUAUUUUAUACUGUAAAAGUUAUAUUUUCUAUAAAUAAUCAAUUUUUCAUAUUUCAAAAUGUUGCCUAGAGCGAUAACUCCUAUGCUUGUAUUUUCUGUAAAUGUCACAGGUAAGUGUAUGUUACGAUUUACAGCAGUAAUGUCACAGGUAAGUGUAUGUUACGACUUACAGCAGUAAUAUCACAGGUAAGUUUAUGUUACGACUUUCAGCAGUGAUGUCACAGGUAAGUUUAUGUUAUGACUUGGAGCAAAACUUGUGUCAGUUACACGUACAACUACGUUUACAGUUUGAGUUCAUGACCUUUAGUAAAUUUUAAACUUCGUCCUGUUUCAUCUAAAGUUUUGGACAUUGAACAGAGACAAAGGUGGAGGAUCAAGAAGUGUGUUGCUGGAGUUAUAUUUGCAAUAUUCGGUGCAAGUGUACUCUUAAAUUUCCUGUAGUUGAAUGUUUAGUUGAAGGUUUGUUGAUGUUGCUGCUGACAGGCAGACUGUACCUGAGAACAGGUGUAGACAAGGUGUGCAUUUUAACAUUGGAACUCCUGAUAAUCUUUGAAUUUAAAAACCGGCUGGUUAUAUACAUACACCAUUACACCUUUCUGAACACAAUCUGUCAUUUUCAUUUACACCUUCUUUGAUUUUUACCAAGGUCCCUGGCUUCAUAUAACAGGAAAAUAAAAAUUAAAUCCACAGGGUGUCUUUUCCAUCCUUGCAAAUUCAUUCUAUUUCAUGAAAUAGAAUGAAACAAUAAUCCGUGCGACGAUGGUUUUUUCUGGAAAUUAAUUAAAACUGGUGGAGGACAGCAUUAAUAUAGAAGAAAAUAAUGAAAUUAAAUGAAUGCUUUAUGAUGUUUCAAAACAAAGAUAAGGCAGAGUUUUGGGUGUGCAGGGUCAUUAAUGAUGUGCCUGUGAUAAAGGAACAUUAUAUAACUCAUUGGAGGGACUCUUGACAUUAAGGAGGGACAUCCUGUAAUUAAUUCCUACCUAAUCAUUUGUCUGCUUAGAUACAAAUUAUAUCUCCUGUAUUUUGGUAGAGGGUGUUCACAUGUAGGAGAAGGGAGCUAUAUUGGAGAUAGAGAGUGGUGAAGUUGAUGAUGUAACCUUACUGCCAUUCUUUUUUCCACAAUAGACAUACCAGCUGGAGAUCCCAGCUAACUUAGGGGUAAUGACCCAUGUAUGAAAGGGAGAUAACUAGGAACUCUACAUACAUCAUUAAUGGAACCACUUGGCACCUCUAUUCAUGAUGGAAAAUUUUCCAUUACUGUCAGUCCCCAGUAAUUAUUAGGACUUGAGGGUUCUCCACUCAGAGUGAGAAAAGUAACAAGUUCCUCUUUUGAUGUUCUGUUUUUAAAUUGCAACUCACAAGUAUUAGAUUUUGAUUUGGGUAUAAAGAUUUGGGUAAAAAGCAAUUGAUAAUUGAAUGGCUAUUCCAAGCAUGAGGGUUAGAGGAUCUAAUUUUGACAACUUUGUGUGUUCAAGAGUGCUCAAGGUUAAUUAAAGGCAAAAUACUGAAAGUUAGGUUGUUGUUUAGACAAGAUAUACUUCAUUUUCUACAUAGAGACUUAUCACAGUAUUGGAAUAUUAUUUAUACAUAAUUAAUUUUUACAUGUGCAAAUUGUUUUAAAGCUAUUUGACAAUUUUUCAUCUUGGAACGGUUGUUGAAUCUAACCUUGGAAUACGUGGGUGGAAUGAAAAGUUAAUUGUAUGCAAAGUAAAGAAAAAUUAAAAUAUGGGAAUGUUGUAAAAUGGCUACAUGUUCACAUUUAAUACUGAAUCACAGAAAUAAACACAAAGCCACAUGUGAUGGAUCAUUUUGAUUCCUUUAUCAUAAGCUGAAAUUAACAUAAAAGUUGUUGCAUCAUUGGCUGAUUUAAUUAAAUGGAAAAAAAGGGAAAUGUUAUUCACCCAGAGCUCCAUCAGAUGAGCACCACAAACAUGCUCGCGGUUUAUCAAAAAAGUACUUUUAUAAUUUCCAUGAUUUUAAAUGGAAUUAAUUGUUGAGUAUUUUUAAAUCAUUCUGUAAACACUGGGUUCUGUAAAACUGCUUGCAUUUUGUUUGCUGGUUGAAUGGCCGGUGUAGUCCAUCCAUCAUUCAUGUAUUUAUCUUCAAGUGAUAUAUGUCGAUCAUUCUGUGCUUCUUUCGCAGAGAAGUGACGAAACUAAUAAGACUUUAUUUGAAUAAUUGAAUUUGUAUUUGUCAGUGGUGCAGGACGGGGGCAUACGGAAUUUCUUUCAGUAUCAUGUUAGGAUCAUUAACUGACAAAAACUUGUAACUGACAGAGAAUCUAUUGUGUAUUAUACAGGGGGCCCUGAUGUUGGACAAAAGCAAAGCAGACCACAGGCCGGGAGUUACAGACACCAGCCAAUACCAAGAUUUGCAUUCCAAUGAAUGGUUUAUAUGCCUAUUUUUCUACAAGAGAAAGGCAAAGAAUUGGUGCACAAAUUGAAACGGAGGGGAUGUAGAGAUGGCCGUCUCCUUGAAGCUGAGAGGAGGUUAAACAAUCAGGAGUCUGACAAUGGUUGAUGGAUGACAGUAAUGAGAGAACUCAGCAGAAGUGAUUGGUCCGUAGUUACAGUUGUCCCAUGAUUGUCCCAUGAUGGAGACUGCAUUCCAGACAGAAGAAAGUAUCAAGUAACCAUGCAUGUUCACCCGACAGAAAAGAGUAUCGUGUUACCACACCCACCCGACUGAAAAAAGUACCAUCUAACCACACCCACUUAGCAGAAAAAGUAACAUGUUACCAUGCCUAUCAGGCAUCUGUCAGAAAAGAGUAUCAUGUAACCACACCCACCCGACAGAAAAAAGUACCGUAACUAUGCCAACCCAGCAGAAAAAGUAUCAUGUAGCCAUGCCCAUAUGGCAGAAGAAAGUAUUUUAACCACACCCACCCAGCAGAAGAAAGUAUGGUAACCAUGCCAACCCAGCAGAAAAAGUAUCACGUAACCACACCCACCUGACAGAAAAAAGUAUCAUGUAACCAUGCCCACCUAGCAGAAGAAGUAUCAGAUUGGCAAUCCUAAGCAUGUUCCCACCCUGUUAAUUAAGGUUUGGAAUGGUGAACAGAUGUAAAGAAACAUCCUCCAACAAGAUUAACCAGUUCUGCAAACUGACCCAAACCAACUCCUGAUGAAAUCAAGUCCUGGAAGAGAGUGUGUCUAUGUGGUGAUAUUCAAUUAUGGGUCUUUAACAGGAAGAAGAUAGAGCUUAGUGAAAUAAAUUGCAUGGUCAGUUUUUCACUAAAAAUUGCUGCAGAACAUGUUUUGGGGCAAGAGGGAACAAAAAUUGAAUUUGGUGGUCCCUGCCUUUUGAGGCCCUAGGGGUGCCCUCUGCCAUUUCAAGGUUCAUACAUCUUAUGACUAUCAGGCUUAGUCUGGAGGUCAAUAAGAGGAGAUCGAUAUUCUAGAACACAAAAUGAACAAAGGCUUCUUGACAGUAUAGGACUAAAAUGAAAAAUGGUUGCUAAUAAAGAGGGAAGUUUUAUGGAAGGAGGGGAAAAAAUCUCGAGAACCAUAGAUUGCAAUAUUGCGGCAGGAAGGACCAGAAACGUUUUUAAUUAUUUGGAGAAUCCGCUGACAGAGAAGCAGCUGCUCUGUAGUUCUAGAUUAUUCUUUAAUAAUGUUACGACUCUUGGAAAGUAGUACUUAUCAUUAAAGAAAAUAUUAAAAUAAUGUAGUCUGCCAAUUCAGGAAACAUUCAUUUUUAUCUCCUAGCAACAGAGACAGGGAUAUAGCAACUUGCCCAUUUUUUUUAUUUCUACCUAGAUCUAGUCCAAUAUUUUUUUUUUUGGUUACCUGAAUCACCUAUUGUGGUCUUCUUGUGUUCACACGUGAACAUGGAAUACCAGCUAAAUAUGCUUCAUCUAAUACCUGCUCUAGGUGCUGCACCUGACCUACAUGUACAUUUCGUGCUUCGAUGACUCUGGUUGAUUAUGUUUCUUGAGUUUAAUGCCACCAUGUCAUAUGGAGAUAUAAUAUGUAUGGAAAGUGUAACAUAAUUUUUUUAGAUAGGAAACAUUAAAAUUUUAACUUAUUUAGCAAAAAAGUUACAAUUUUAAUUACUUUGUCCAGUGACUUAAUCAAGCAAAACUUAGAAAUAAUAAUUAUUUGCAUUAGUGACGUACUUUGGUUUGAAAUAUGGUGAUGAAGCAAUAGUUCUCUUUGAUUUGUACACUAGCAUACUUGCUGAUAUUGCACAUUAUCAACUGAUAGCUCAGAUGUAGCAUCUGACUCCCCCACCCCCUCCCUAAAAAAAAACAUUGUUUUUAUCCUUUCUGUCUAUCUUUUGUGAUUGACUUUUGAUGUGCCUGUGGCCAUCUUUUCACAUUUCAAAAAGAUCAGCAAUAUUUCUGCCAACACAGUCCAGAUAUUGAUAAGGUCUGGUCACUUGUGAUGAGUGGGUGUGCAGUAUAGAUAAUGUCCAAUACUUUAUGUCCACUGACGUCUAGUGUAUUGGGGGAGGCAGGAGCAUUGGAUUGGUGCUGUAAGAACCCCACUAAAACAAAAAGUACUUUGGAAACAUCCUCUUUCGAUGAUUGGGUUUAUGUUCUUGUUGAAAUGUAUCAAAAUAGCUGCAUGUAUCUACAACCCAAUUAAAUAAGAAGAAUGUGUAAUAAAAGGCACACCUGUGUUCAGUAUUGUGAACAUCGUUUAUAGAUGCAUUGAUCAAUGAAACAUUACUCUAUGUAUAUGAGCUUCAUAAGUAAAUAUAUGCAUGUACAUGUAUUCUCUUACCUCAUUUUACUGUACAGCAGGUUGACAUGUAGAGCAUUAUGACUAGUUAUAUAAUGAUCGAUCACUUAGGUCCUCUAUGGUGACAUUUAUAAGUUCAGACAUGAAAUAAUUAUCUAGUUAGACACUUAGUCCCAUGCCUUGGCAUUUAGUGUAAAUCAAAAUCUGUCGAGUUCUUUUUGUUUGAAGGACUGAUGAAAUAAUACCAAGUGCAAUUGUAGUUGCAUUUAUUUAACAUGUGUAUGCAGCGAGGCAUGUUUGUUUAAUACUUUAAAAAUGUUUGUUCAAAAUCUGUGGAAUAAGCUGGGUUUUUAUAAUAUGUAGAGUUAUUUUUGUCUCUUGACCUCCAUCAUUAAAGUUGCAUGGAGUUAGCCGCCCCCACCCCAUUUGAAAAGUAUUAAUAGUACUGAUUCAUGAAUGAAGGAUAAAAAAAAGAAGAAGAUAUAAAUGAUGUGUAGCAUAUAUACCGGUAUUCAUAAAUGUUCUUCAUUACUGAAUUUUUUUAUGUAGUUAGCCAAGAUUGUAAGCAGAUUAUAUCGUUAGGUAACGAGUAUUUCAAGGGAUUGCACUCUGUGACUUAAUACAUCUUGACCUUAUGCUGCCGUAGUAACGUGAUGUCAAAUGAAGAACAGAAUCAACUGGUCUCUCUGGUCAAGGAACGCAAUAGGCUUGUGCUUUAAUAUCCCAGAGAUUUGGUUGAGCUGACCAAAUAAGAUUAUGUACUUGCUUGAAAGUGUUAUGCAGGUGAUUUCAUGUGGAGCAGAGUCGUUUGUAUAAUGCAUGCCGACGACAUGUGACAGUUUAAUUAUAAUCCUGUAUGGUUAGGAUCGUAAAGACGCAGUACAUGACAUUUCCUUGAUGUGAGAGCUGUUAUUUGCAUGUUUGACGUUUUUAAACGCAUGUACAUGUAUUGCUGUACGUGCAUUGAUGAGGGUGCUGAACUGACAAAAAUGGAAGUGAUUACCAAUUCUAAAUUGUGAUUAUUAUUUUUCAUUUGUCAAUGAGGGUUGGUGGGGUGGGAGGUGCAUACAAUUUAUGAUAUUAGAAAAAGUUAUCACUUCAUGUUUUAUUAAUAAACAUAAUGAAAUUGA